UUAAUUGAAACCAAAUUGAGGUAUAUCACUGUUAAUGAUAUUAAUGAGAUUUUCUCUCCAAUUAAA
rnacentral:tRNA from 1 species